rnacentral:rRNA from 1 species
GAUGAACGCUGGCGGCGUGCCUAAUACAUGCAAGUCGAGCGAACGGACGAGAAGCUUGCUUCUCUGAUGUUAGCGGCGGACGGGUGAGUAACACGUGGAUAACCUACCUAUAAGACUGGGAUAACUUCGGGAAACCGGAGCUAAUACCGGAUAAUAUUUUGAACCGCAUGGUUCAAAAGUGAAAGACGGUCUUGCUGUCACUUAUAGAUGUAUCCGCGCUGCAUUAGCUAGUUGGUAAGGUAACGGCUUACCAAGGCAACGAUGCAUAGCCGACCUGAGAGGGUGAACGGCCACACAGGAACUGAGACACGGUACAGACUCCGACGGGAGGCAGAAGUAGGGAAUCUUCCGCAAUGGGCGAAAGACUGACGGAGCAACGCCGCGUGAGUGAUGAAGGUCUUCGGAUCGUAAAACUCUGUUAUUAGGGAAGAACAUAUGUGUAAGUAACUGUGCACAUCGUGACGGUACCUAAUCAGAAAGCCACGGCUAACUACGUG